AGAGUUUGAUCCUGGCUCAGAACGAACGCUGGCGGCGUGGAUAAGACAUGCAAGUCGAGCGCUGAUUUGGAGGUAGCAAUAUUUUCAAGUCGGAGCGGCGCAAGGGUGCGUAACACGUGGGAAUCUGCCUUGAAGUGUGGGAUAACUCCGAGAAAUCGGAGCUAAUACCGCAUGUGAUCGUGAGAUCAAAGUUGGGGAUCGUAAGACCUGACGCUUCAAGAUGAGCCCGCGGCCUAUCAGCUAGUUGGUGAGGUAAUGGCUCACCAAGGCUAAGACGGGUAGCUGGUCUGAGAGGACGACCAGCCACACUGGAACUGAGACACGGUCCAGACACCUACGGGUGGCAGCAGUCGAGAAUUUUUCUCAAUGGGCGAAAGCCUGAAGGAGCGACGCCGCGUGGGGGAUGAAUGGCUUCGGCCCGUAAACCCCUGUCAUUUGCGAACAAAUUAUUUUACCUAACACGUAAAGUAUUGAUUGUAGCGGAAGAGGAAGGGACGGCUAACUCUGUGCCAGCAGCCGCGGUAAUACAGAGGUCCCAAGCGUUGUUCGGAUUCACUGGGCGUAAAGGGUGCGUAGGCGGUGAGGUAAGUCUGACGUGAAAUCUCCGGGCUCAACCCGGAAACUGCGUUGGAUACUAUCACACUAGAGGAAUGGAGGGGAGACUGGAAUACUUGGUGUAGCAGUGAAAUGCGUAGAUAUCAAGUGGAACACCAGUGGCGAAGGCGAGUCUCUGGACAUUUCCUGACGCUGAGGCACGAAAGCCAGGGGAGCAAACGGGAUUAGAUACCCUAGUAGUCC
rnacentral:rRNA from 1 species